rnacentral:lncRNA from 1 species
AUUUUUUUUUACAACCAGAUUUUGUUUGCUCUCCUUGUAAAUUCUUUUUUCUCGAAAUUGACAAAGUUCUCUUUCAAGAAUUUGAAAAGCAUGAACCUUGCCCCGCCUUAUAGGACACUUUCCUGGUUCAAAUCUCUGCACCUUUUGUCGAUUUCAAGGGCGCAUCUGAUAACUUCCCGCAGGAGCCUGGACAGGCGUCCCGCAGCCAGGGCAGUCCGAGCAGCCGGG